GGGGUUGCAGCUCAGGGGUAGAGCCUUUGCCUAUCAUGUAUGAGGUUCUGGGUUUGAAUCUCAGCACCACCU
rnacentral:tRNA from 1 species